AGUGAACGCUGGCGGUAGGCCUAACACAUGCAAGUCGAACGGCAGCACAGUAAGAGCUUGCUCUUACGGGUGGCGAGUGGCGGACGGGUGAGGAAUACAUCGGAAUCUACUUUUUCGUGGGGGAUAACGUAGGGAAACUUACGCUAAUACCGCAUACGACCUACGGGUGAAAGCAGUGGAACUUCGGACCUUGCGCGAUUGAAUGAGCCGCUGUCGGAUUAGCUAGUUGGCGGGGUAAAGGCCCACCAAUGCGACGAUCCGUAGCUGGUCUGAGAGGAGGAAGCGGCACAGUGAAAGUGAGCCACGGCCCAGACACCGACGGGAGGCAGAGGUGGGUAAGAGUGGAAAAUGGGGGGAAGCCUGCACCAGCGAUACCGGGUUGGUGAAGAAGCCCCUCGGGUGGUAAAGCGCUUUUGUUGGGAUAGAAAAGCAGCAGGUGAAAACCCCGGUGUUCGGCCGGUACCCAUAGAAUAAGCACCGGUUAAUUUCUU
rnacentral:rRNA from 1 species